rnacentral:rRNA from 1 species
GACGAACGCUGGCGGCGUGCUUAACACAUGCAAGUCGAACGGAAAGGCCCUGCUUUUGUGGGGUGCUCGAGUGGCGAACGGGUGAGUAACACGUGAGUAACCUGCCCUUGACUUUGGGAUAACUUCAGGAAACUGGGGCUAAUACCGGAUAGGAGCUCCUGCUGCAUGGUGGGGGUUGGAAAGUUUCGGCGGUUGGGGAUGGACUCGCGGCUUAUCAGCUUGUUGGUGGGGUAGUGGCUUACCAAGGCUUUGACGGGUAGCCGGCCUGGGAGGGUGACCGGCCACAUUGGGACUGAGAUACGGCCCAGACUCCUACGGGAGGCAGCAGUGGGGAAUAUUGCACAAUGGGCGGAAGCCUGAUGAAGCAACGCCGCGUGCGGGAUGACGGCCUGCGGGUUGUAAACCGCUUUCGCCUGUGACGAAGCGUGAGUGACGGUAAUGGGUAAAGAAGCACCGGCUAACUACGUG